UGGAGCUCCAGUGCCCUGGGAGGGGAGAGGAGAAGCCUGACCUUGAGCACAGCUCCAGCCUCCACUCCCCACCCCUAUCGCAGGCUCUGGGCUGUGGUUUCAUUUUCCCCAGUUCUCUAACUUCUCAGGAAGCCCAGAGUUUCUCCCUAAAGAAAGGUGGCCCUGCACUCUUUCCUCUCCUCCAAAAUUAGGCUUCAGUAGUUGUCCUCUAAGUUGAUAUUUAGACCUUAAAAUCUAGACUUCUUGGAUCAACAAGAAAUACGCAGGAAGUUCCACAUGAUCUCGUGUGAUAGCACGUAACUUAGUGCUACAGGUGACAGUUUUAUUUUUGGAGGAGUCUUAUUUUACAUAGGGAAAUAGAAAACUAAGUGGCUUCCCUUGAGGCAGCCCGAGGGCUCCACUGGACCCAGAACUCUGAGUUCUGAUGCUGCCUAUCAUUUGCUUUUCCUCAUGAGCUCCUGGACCACCUCAUAUCACCAGCACCCUCUACCCAAGGUCCUGGAGCCAACACUGGAGUAAAAGAGCACAAGAGAACUCCUUAGAGGUGGAAGUGGCUGGAAGUUGCAGAGGUUUCAGAAGCUCAUCCAAGAUUCUGGAGCCUCCAUCUCCAGCCCUAAUGCUGUCCGCCUUUUCACCCAGCCACCACCUGUUUCAGGAGAACACACAGAAGUGAUGACCUUUUCUGGACAGGAUACCCUCUGAGGUCAAAUCAUUGGGCUUGUGGCCAUGAGACCACAGACUUUGCCUGGCUUCCAGUGACUGUCCGAGAUGACCUGUGGAGUGCACCGCCUGUACUUGGACAUCACUGUCUUUUCGGAUCCAUACCCGUCAUCCUUGGAAUUUCCCCUGCAUCCAAACCUGUUCCUGAUACAGGUGUGAGUAAUGAAUAACCCUAAGGAAUAUCUUGGAUGUCUUCACGGGGCUUAUGACUUAUUCUGAGGUUUACAAAAUAGAGGCCCCCAGCUGAGCAAAGAGAGGGCUGCAGCGCCGAGGGAACAGCUGCCGGACUCACCGGAGAGGCCUCCUGGAGCACGCCGGGACCCCCUCCACCCCCUGGCUUUGGCUGCAUCAAUGGCUAGUUUGCCUGAACUAUAUCUGAGCCACUGAGAGUAUUUAUUAAGCAGAGAAUAAUUUUGAGUUUCACUUUUAUAACUUUUGUUUCAAAAGUUGUUUUGGAUAAUUUAAUGAAAUGACUGUAAACCAGAAUUCCCCUUUUCAUUAUUUCUUUGUGUCAAUAUAAAAAGAGUUGAUGAUUUUAAAAGCCAGUGAGAUGUCCCUGUCUGUGGAUGUCAGCGGGAGGGUGGGGUCUGACGCCUUUCUCUGGUGGCUGUCCAGGAAGAUUGCCCCAGCUUGCACUCCCUUUUGGCGGGUUCCAGAGCCUUCCAUUUGAAAGGAGCAUCUCUCACCACUCUGCCCCACCCAGCACCAGCUCUUCUGGAACCCACUGACUUCCUAAACACUUUCUUCCUCCUUCACCUCAUUGAAUUCAAGACUUUAGAAAACAGCCAAAAACUCUAGAGGUGGGGGUGGGUUCGAUCUGGAAAUCCCUGCUGUAAUCUUUUUAAGGGAAUCCACUGGAAAUUAUUAAUUUAUGUUUUAAAUAAAACCAUUCCUUACUUAACAGAAUAUUAAGCCACUCAUUUUUUUAACAGAACUUUCGAGAUAUAAUUAAAAUGCCAUAAAUUUCACCCCCACACAGUGUACAAUUCCAAGGUUUCCAAUAUAGUCACAGAAGUCUCUGCAACAAUUACCACAAUUUUAGACAUGAAGACCAUUUGUUGGCAGCCCUACCUGCCUCUAUGUGUAUGUAUAUAAUUUUAAUAUUGGAUUGGAUACUAUAGUAAUAUUGUACUGUUACCUAUUUGUGUUUUUAUAUUGCUGUUUUAUUUUAUUCAGAUGAAUAAUAAUUAUCUCCAUAUAGUCAUACAUUUAUAUAGGGUUAAACACACCUUUUUACAAUUCAAUAAAUUAAAUUGGUCAGGUAUGGUGGCUCACGCCUGUAAUCCCAGCACUUUGGGAGGCCAAGGCGGGUGGAUCACCUGAGGUUGGGAGUUUGAGACCAGCGUGAUCAACAUGGAGAAACCCUGUCUGUACUAAAAAUACAAAAAAUUAGCCAGGCAUGGUGGCACAUGCCUGUAAUCCCAGCUACUUGGGAGGCUGAGGCAGGAGAAUCACUCGAACCAAGGAGGCGGACAUUGCGGUGAGCCAGGAUCGCACCAUUGCACUCCAGCCUGGGCAACAAGAGCAAAACUCCAUCUCAAGAAGAAAAAAAAAAAAAAAGUAAAUUGUUUUUAAUUACAUAAGAAACACGUGUUAUUGUUAUAGAAAUUCACAUAGUGCUUCGGUCUAUAGAAUAAAUGUAUCCCCACCACCUCCCAGCCCACCCACUCGUCUGCAUUCACCUACACACAGUUAAACAUGCACAUAUGUUUCCGUGACACGAUCUUGCUUUGCAUAUUGUUCACUGACUGGCUUUUCCAUAUAAGAUUUAAUUUGGUGAUUAUUGCUUAUCAGUACCUAUAGGUCUCUCUCAUUAUUAUUUAUAAUUACAUCAUUAUUCCAUAGGGUAUUUUACCACAAUUUGGUCACUUUUUCACUGAGGAAUUUUUAUGUCAGUUUCAGUUAUUUGUUAUUGUUACCAAUGCUGUACUGGGCAUCCCUGUAUAUCCACCUUUUUGUUGCAUUAGUUAAGUGGUUUUUUCCUUUUAUGAUUGAUUUCUAAAAAUAAAAUACUGCAGCAAAUGUUAAUGUUUAAUAUUUUCAUAAAAUUAAAAAUCUGUGUUCCAAAAAGAAAUCAAUGGUUUAUACUUCUACCAUCAAUGUAUGAGAAUUCCUAUUUCCCCACACCCUUAAUUACAUAGGAAAUUAUCAAUGUUUGCCAAUUUUAUGAUUUUAAAAUAUUUUUACUUUUAAUUUGGAUUUCUCCACUUAUUAGGGAGAUUGUGCAUAUUUGUGUAUGUGUGUUGGCCGUUUGUAUUUCUCCCUGUGAUUUUCAUAAUGAUACGUUUUCCUAGUUUUCUAAUUCAUUUAGUGAUAUUCUUUAUAUGUUCUGCACAUUUAUUAUUUCCAUAUAAUUACUGAGUUUUUUUUAAGGUCUGUGUCAUAACUUUUACUUUGUUUAUAUUGUUUUUGUUUUGAAGAAGGUUUUCUUUUUACAUAGUCAAAUUUUCAAUAUUUUCCUUACCAUUUCUGGAUUUUGUGACAGGCUUUCAAUAGUUGGUCCUUCUAGGGCUUUAUUGAUUUGUUUUGUUUUAAAGAACAUGCUCAAAUCCUACAUUAUAUAGUGAUUUACUUGUUCCCUUUAUAACACGUGGUAGACAUUACUAGUUCCAAUUAAUGUAGAUUAAAUGUAUUCUUUUCAGUUGUGUAGUAAUUCAUAGAUACGUUCUGAUUUCUUUAUUCUCUGUUAGAUGGAUAUUAAGCUUAUUUUUUAAAAUUCCCACCACUAAUGACUUUCCAGUAAUCAUCAAUAUACAUAGAUCCCCCCAAUGUUUUUGUUUUUUUGUUUUUAUGUAGUAUACGAAUCUCAAAAUGGUAUAAUUGAGCUACGAUAAAUUUAAUUAUAAUUUAAAAAAUACUGACAUUAUUUUUCACAGAGUUAAUCAGAUCACACUCUUACCAAUUACAUAAGUAGGCCUCUUCCUAUGUAGGCUCAAUAG
rnacentral:lncRNA from 10 species